GACGGAGGAUGCAAGCGUUAUCCGGAAUCACUGGGCGUAAAGCGUCUGUAGGUGGUCAAAUAAGUCAACUGUUAAAUCUUGAGGCUCAACCUCAAAAUCGCAGUCGAAACUAUUCGACUAGAGUAUAGUAGGGGUAAAGGGAAUUUCCAGUGGAGCGGUGAAAUGCGUAGAGAUUGGAAAGAACACCGAUGGCGAAGGCACUUUACUGGGCUAUUACUAACACUGAGAGACGAAAGCUAGGGGAGCAAAUGGG
rnacentral:rRNA from 1 species